rnacentral:rRNA from 1 species
GAGGCAGCAGUAGGGAAUUUUCCACAAUGGACGAAAGUCUGAUGGAGCAACGCCGCGUGAACGAUGAAGGUCUUCGGAUUGUAAAGUUCUGUUGUCAGGGACGAACACGUACCGUUCGAAUAGGGCGGUACCUUGACGGUACCUGACGAGAAAGCCACGGCUAACUACGUGCCAGCAGCCGCGGUAAUA